rnacentral:rRNA from 1 species
GACGUAGGUGGCGAACGUUAUCCGGAAUUAUUGGGCGUAAAGCGUGCGCAGACGGUUGCGUAAGUCAGAUGUGAAAGCCCCGGGCUCAACCUGGGAAUUGCAUUUGAGACUGCGUAGCUAGGGUGCGGAAGAGGGAAGCGGAAUUUCCGGUGUAGCGGUGAAAUGCGUAGAUAUCGGAAGGAACACCAGUGGCGAAAGCGGCUUCCUGGUCCAGCACCGACGUUCAGGCACGAAAGCGUGGGGAGCAAACAGG